UGGGGAAUUUUGGACAAUGGGGGAAACCCUGAUCCAGCCAUCCCGCGUGUGCGAUGAAGGCCUUCGGGUUGUAAAGCACUUUUGGCAGGAAAGAAACGUCAUGGGUUAAUACCCCGUGAAACUGACGGUAUCUGCAGAAUAAGCACCGGCUAACUACGUGCCAGCAGCCGCGGUAAUACGUAGGGUGCAAGCGUUAAUCGGAAUUACUGGGCGUAAAGCGUGCGCAGGCGGUUCGGAAAGAAAGAUGUGAAAUCCCAGAGCUCAACUUUGGAACUGCAUUUUUAACUACCGGGCUAGAGUGUGUCAGAGGGAGGUGGAAUUCCGCGUGUAGCAGUGAAAUGCGUAGAUAUGCGGAGGAACACCGAUGGCGAAGACAGCCUCCUGAGAUAACACAGACGCUCAUGCACGAAAGCGUGGGGAGCAAACAGG
rnacentral:rRNA from 1 species